rnacentral:rRNA from 1 species
ACGCUGGCGGCAGGCCUAACACAUGCAAGUCGAGCGGAAACGAGUUAUCUGAACCUUCGGGGAACGAUAACGGCGUCGAGCGGCGGACGGGUGAGUAAUGCCUAGGAAAUUGCCCUGAUGUGGGGGAUAACCAUUGGAAACGAUGGCUAAUACCGCAUGAUGCCUACGGGCCAAAGAGGGGGACCUUCGGGCCUCUCGCGUCAGGAUAUGCCUAGGUGGGAUUAGCUAGUUGGUGAGGUAAGGGCUCACCAAGGCGACGAUCCCUAGCUGGUCUGAGAGGAUGAUCAGCCACACUGGAACUGAGACACGGUCCAGACUCCUACGGGAGGCAGCAGUGGGGAAUAUUGCACAAUGGGCGCAAGCCUGAUGCAGCCAUGCCGCGUGUGUGAAGAAGGCCUUCGGGUUGUAAAGCACUUUCAGUCGUGAGGAAGGURGURUAGUUAAUAGCUGYAUYAUUUGACGUUAGCGACAGAAGAAGCACCGGCUAACUCCGUGCCAGCAGCCGCGGUAAUACGGAGGGUGCGAGCGUUAAUCGGAAUUACUGGGCGUAAAGCGCAUGCAGGUGGUUUGUUAAGUCAGAUGUGAAAGCCCGGGGCUCAACCUCGGAAUAGCAUUUGAAACUGGCAGACUAGAGUACUGUAGAGGGGGGUAGAAUUUCAGGUGUAGCGGUGAAAUGCGUAGAGAUCUGAAGGAAUACCGGUGGCGAAGGCGGCCCCCUGGACA